AACGCGAAGAACCUUACCUGGUCUUGACAUCCACAGAACUUGGCAGAGAUGCCUUGGUGCCUUCGGGAACUGUGAGACAGGUGCUGCAUGGCUGUCGUCAGCUCGUGUUGUGAAAUGUUGGGUUAAGUCCCGCAACGAGCGCAACCCUUAUCCUUUGUUGCCAGCGGUCCGGCCGGGAACUCAAAGGAGACUGCCAGUGAUAAACUGGAGGAAGGUGGGGAUGACGUCAAGUCAUCAUGGCCCUUACGACCAGGGCUACACACGUGCUACAAUGGCAUAUACAAAGAGAAGCGACCUCGCGAGAGCAAGCGGACCUCAUAAAGUAUGUCGUAGUCCGGAUUGGAGUCUGCAACUCGACUCCAUGAAGUCGGAAUCGCUAGUAAUCGUGGAUCAGAAUGCCACGGUGAGUACGUUCCCGGGUCUUGUACACACCG
rnacentral:rRNA from 1 species